UGGAAACAGCGGUUAGGAGCUUACACCCACCCGUGUUUACAUACUAUUGUUGCUUUGGCGGGCCGUGGCCUCCACUGCGGGCUCUGCUCGUGUGUGCCCGCCAGAGGACCAAACUCUGAAUGUUAGUGAUGUCUGAGUACUAUCUAAUAGUUAAAACUUUCAACAACGGAUCUCUUGGUUCUGGCAUCGAUGAAGAACGCAGCGAAAUGCGAUAAGUAAUGUGAAUUGCAGAAUUCAGUGAAUCAUCGAAUCUUUGAACGCACAUUGCGCCCUGUGGUAUUCCGCAGGGCAUGCCUGUUCGAGCGUCAUUUAACCACUCACGCCUAGCGUGGUAUUGGGGCGCGCGGUCUCGCGGCCCUCAAAAUUAGUAGCGGCGCCGGUGGGCUCUAAGCGUAGUACAUACUCCCGCUAUAGAGUUCCCCCGGUGGCUCGCCAGAACCCCCAAUUUUUUUACAGGUUGACCUCGGAUCAGGUAAGGGAUACCCGCUGAA
rnacentral:rRNA from 1 species